GACGGGGGGGGGCAAGUGUUCUUCGGAAUGACUGGGCGUAAAGGGCACGUAGGCGGUGAAUCGGGUUGAAAGUGAAAGUCGCCAAAAAGUGGCGGAAUGCUCUCGAAACCAAUUCACUUGAGUGAGACAGAGGAGAGUGGAAUUUCGUGUGUAGGGGUGAAAUCGUAGAUCUACGAAGGAACGCCAAAAGCGAAGGCAGCUCUCUGGGUCCCUACCGACGCUGGGAUGCGAAGGCAUGGGGAAGCGAACAGGG
rnacentral:rRNA from 1 species